CAUUUAUUUUUUUGUAUUAUUGAUCUGUUUCUCACUUGUAUGACUGGUUUUCAAUUCUGAAACUUUAUACUGUAAUAGUAGCAAUAAGUGAUGAACCCUGCUUGGGUUUGUUUAUCCAGAUCUUUAAGUGUUGCACUAUUAUCCACCCCGAGCUCUUCUCUCUCUCUCCUUUUUUUUUUUUGGUUUAAAUUAUUUAUUUUCUCUUGCAGGGGGAUCCAGAAACAGAUUUCUACAAGUUCUAAAGCUUGUAAGCUUAUUGCACUUUCAUUCCUAAGGAUCAGUUUGGCAUACAUGGAGUUUAAGAGAAUUUAUGAGAGUCAUGUUCCGUGGCAUUGGUGUUCUGAAGUUUGCUGCUUUGUUAGUUACUAUUCUAUGCAUGGACAUUUCAAGAAGCUGGAUGAAGAGAUUAAAAGGGGAGCUGCAUCUUUGGAAGUAGAAGCCCAACUAUCUCAGGUUUGCAAUUGUCGAUCACUUCAAAGUGGGACAGUUCGUGAUAACAUACUCUACUUGAUUGAUGUAAUGACUA